ACCUCACAGCUUGCCUCUGCCACCGCGUGGCUGUGAGGGCCCCACACGUUAUUACUGGGCAUAACCUGCCGGGUGGGGAGCGCUCAUCUCUGCUGUGUGCAGAGAGGCAGGCCGGGGAAUAGAAUUCGCUUUUCAAGGAUGUUCAGUCACAGCAGGAAAAGUGCUCUGCGAGCUGUGUGUACACAGCCAGGCCGCCGCCUUGAACCUCCGGAGCUGGCAAACCCUGGGCAGAGUUGGUGCCAUUGGUCCAUUGCUAGUGCUCAGUACCAAGCGCAUCUGCCCUCAGCUGAGACGUACUGAGCAGCUGCAGGGCGCGGCACAGGCUUGUGCACUCCCCACCCUGAAGGCCCUGCUGAGGGGGGAAGAUGGAAAAGAUGAGCCUGUCUGCUCACCUGGUGGGCUCACUGGCACCACAGCUUCCAAUGUCAGCUGCCUGUCUACCUGUCGAGUCUUCAGCUUUGCCUCUCCCCCCGACUCCACCACUGAGACUGGACUGUGAGGCCCCGUGUCCCACAGGUAACCCUAACCUGGCCUGUCCUGUACUUCUCGUGACCGAGCCCGCUCCCCUCUAACCUCUCACCACGUGUUGCAAUCUCUGGCCCACCUAAUGAGAUGCCUAGUCCAGGCGCCUUUGCACGUACUCUUCCUGCCCCUCAGAUCCCCUGGUCUUCCUCUCACAGAACUUAACAUUGAGCAUGAUUACACGAUUCUUCCCAUUGUCCCCAUCCGAGUGCAAACUGCCGGAGGAUACCUGCCUCCUGGGACUCCUCACCCUCUAGCACUCAGCCAGUUCCUGCUCAGGUGCCGGGUCACCUCCCAGGGACACCAUUCCGCACUUCUGGCCAAGUCCAGCCCUCGCCGAUGUUGCCAAAGCCACCCAUCCAGUUGCCUUCCUGCCAAGCAGCACCCUCCCUGAGGGCAGGGCCCACGUGUGCAGCAGAGACGCCUCCAGGAGCAGUGGAGGAGGAACUCACCCGGAAGGUGGCACACCACGGGGAUGCCCAGCUUCUUGAGGU